rnacentral:rRNA from 1 species
UGCCUCAAAGAGGGGGACAACAGUUGGAAACGACUGGUAAUACCGCAUAAGCCCACGGCUCGGCAUCGAGCAGAGGGAAAAGGAGUGAUCCGCUUUGAGAUGGCCUCGCGUCCGAUUAGCUAGUUGGUGAGGUAAUGGCCCACCAAGGCGACGAUCGGUAGCCGGACUGAGAGGUUGAACGGCCACAUUGGGACUGAGACACGGCCCAGACUCCUACGGGAGGCAGCAGUGGGGAAUAUUGCACAAUGGGGGAAACCCUGAUGCAGCGACGCCGCGUGGAGGAAGAAGGUCUUCGGAUUGUAAACUCCUGUUGUUGAGGAAGAUAAUGACGGUACUCAACAAGGAAGUGACGGCUAACUACGUGCCAGCAGCCGCGGUAAAACGUAGGUCACAAGCGUUGUCCGGAAUUACUGGGUGUAAAGGGAGCGCAGGCGGGAGAACAAGUUGGAAGUGAAAUCCAUGGGCUCAACCCAUGAACUGCUUUCAAAACUGUUUUUCUUGAGUAGUGCAGAGGUAGGCGGAAUUCCCGGUGUAGCGGUGGAAUGCGUAGAUAUCGGGAGGAACACCAGUGGCGAAGGCGGCCUACUGGGCACCAACUGACGCUGAGGCUCGAAAGUGUGGGUAGCAAACAGGAUUAGAUACCCUGGUAGUCCACACCGUAAACGAUGAUUACUAGGUGUUGGAGGAUUGACCCCUUCAGUGCCGCAGUUAACACAAUAAGUAAUCCACCUGGGGAGUA